UACGUAGGAUCCGAGCGUUAUCCGGAUUUAUUGGGUUUAAAGGGAGCGUAGACGGCUGUGCAAGUCUGAAGUGAAAUGCCGGGGCUCAACCCCGGGACUGCAUUUGAAACUGCCGAGCUGGAGUGUCGGAGAGGCAAGUGGAAUUCCUAGUGUAGCGGUGAAAUGCGUAGAUAUUAGGAGGAACACCAGUGGCGAAGGCGGCUUGCUGGACGAUAACUGACGCUGAGGCUCGAAAGCGUGGGGAGCAA
rnacentral:rRNA from 1 species